AGUCUGUGGAUCAAAUGGCUUUAUCUAUAGAAGCUAAGAAAGCAUUAUGGUUCCGUUUCUGGGAUGAUGACUCAUCCUCAAAGUCUGCCCUCUACACCAUUCUAUUUGAAGGGGUGGUGCUGUUUGGGGAAAACUUUGGAUAAUUCCAUUGAAAAGGCGAAUGAGCGCUGCAAAAUAUUGGUACCUUAGGAUGGAAGUUCCAAGGAUCCCAGCUCCUCAUAGUCUGACCGGAGAACCUCCAGUGACCAGUAUUUCUGAGAUACAUGAAGC